AAAAGAUAAGUAAAUAUGACAGACUGUUAAAUUUGAAAGCUCUAAUGAAUUAAAUUAAAGGUCAUGUCCACAAUGAAAACCGAAAACCAACCUCACCAAGCUAAAAGGGAACAGGGGUAACAAUUCUAGUAGCCAACAUAUACUGCAGCAUUCACUACGUAACAAUCUUCAUUUUUAUCUCCCAUUUCCUCAACACACACGCCGCUUGAGCAUAUCAGUCCACCAUCCACAACUUCAACAUUUAGAAUCCUCCCAUAAGGAAAGACAGACUUGACCCUUUCGAUAUCCAACAAUUGCUGAAGAGAAUGAGGAACUCCCAGUUUGAUUUGUAGUUUCAUUUGGUCAAAAGAAACACCAGGUAUGGACCCUCUGCGAAAUGCAGGAAUCGAAUUGGAAGAGAUGGCAUCCCUGCAUGCUCGCAUUGCUGCAGCUGUAAUAUCUUGGCCAUGUUGAUCAUAGCCAACACCCAUCUCCACGAACAAGAGCUUCAUUGGUGCGUUUGAGCUGCCAGCUUUAAAGACUGCAGUUCCACUUUGCUGGACCUCCAUGGCCCUUGUUGUGUUUUUCCACAGGCGUGAAAAUCGAGGAACUUGCAGAGAGGAUUUGUUUGCUAGAGAAAGAAAUGGUGUUGGUGAAUUUGAUGGGUAAAUCUUAGAAACCUGCAGACUCUCAGAUUGAUACUCUGUGAAGCGAGAGGAAAGUGGCAAUUUUAGGAUUGGGCAGCAAACAGUCAUCUCCUCCGUCAAGACAACUCGAUAAGUUAGAACUUAGCACAGCACCGCCAGAU
rnacentral:misc_RNA from 1 species